UUACGGCCAUAUCACAUUGCAACACCGGUUCUCGCCCGAUCAUCGAAGUUAAGUAUCUUCAAGACUGAUCAGUGCCUAGAUGGGUGACCGCUGGCAAAUACCAAGUGCUGAAA